rnacentral:lncRNA from 1 species
GUCCCCCACUGGUCUUCUGAGCAGACUUGACGCAGUUUCAUCUCAUUCCUGAGGUAUCCUGAGCCCCUCAGUGCCAUACUUCUGCGUGAGUGCUGUGAACUGGAGCAAAUGGGUUGAAAAUGGCCAGAAGUUGCUCUUGGUCUCUUUAGAUCUUUUAUGACAAAGAAAAAAAUUGAAUUUCUGACCAGUUAAAAUCCAUUUGAGCCAGUUUAAGCUAAUUAUGCAGAACUGGAGCCUGAGGUCGGUAAAUCCAGGAAGAUGGCUGAAUACUAUGCUGACUCAAGUACAGACAAGGAGCCAGGUAUUUAUAAAAGUUGAAAGUAAUCUGAGAGAAGGAAAAAAGUCUGAUUAAGGAAGCAGGAAAAUAUAGGAAGUAGGGUUGGUAGAGGGAAGGCUCAGAAGAGGUUGGUGCAACCAGAAACAAUUUUUUUUUAGAGGUUGAGAGGUCAUUUCUAGGAAGCAAUGCAGGGUUUGGGGCUCUAAAUUCAGGUGUCUAGGAGACAGUCUGAAUGCUGACAUCAUCUGGUAGGCUGGAGCUGAGACUGGGUGAUUUGUGGUGCAGUGAUGCUGUCUGGCUCUGCAGGCCUGCUCCUAGGCCAUUCUUUAUAUGUGUGUCACCUCAGGCUUUUUGAUAGUUCCAAGCCUACAAAUGGCCAUCCUUUCACCUCUUUAACUGAGCUGGUCAUUUAAAUUAGGAGGGAGUGAGCAAUUUUGAAGAAAUAGCAAA